rnacentral:lncRNA from 1 species
UGAAGAAUCUAUUCACUGGAUUUGAGACCUUGGAAUUGGUGUAACUGUUCUUAUAUCUCUUCCUUUGAACUACAAUGUGGGUUGAAUUUUAUAUCUCUAUAGAAGACUACAUCUGCUAAAAAGGAGAUGGGGUAUGUGAGUCACCACCACCAAGGAAAGGCAGUACCCAGAAUAUUCUGGAAGUCAAGCAACACAUCUAAUGAAACAUUGAAGCAUAACUUGACAAAGAGCCCUGCAAUCAAGAAGGUGUGAGUUCAGAUCUACUCCCAGAUACUAAAGAGGUCUGUGAAGUUAGGGUAAUCAAAAAUCUUCCAUCUAUCUCUGCUUCCUUAUUGAUCAAAAAAAGAAUAUGAUUG